UGGGGAAUAUUGCACAAUGGGCGCAAGCCUGAUGCAGCCAUGCCGCGUGUAUGAAGAAGGCCUUCGGGUUGUAAAGUACUUUCAGCGAGGAGGAAGGCGUUGUGGUUAAUAACCGCAACGAUUGACGUUACUCGCAGAAGAAGCACCGGCUAACUCCGUGCCAGCAGCCGCGGUAAUACGGAGGGUGCAAGCGUUAAUCGGAAUUACUGGGCGUAAAGCGCACGCAGGCGGUCUGGCAAGUCGGAUGUGAAAUCCCCGGGCUCAACCUGGGAACUGCAUCCGAAACUGGCAGGCUAGAGUCUUGUAGAGGGGGGUAGAAUUCCAGGUGUAGCGGUGAAAUGCGUAGAGAUCUGGAGGAAUACCGGUGGCGAAGGCGGCCCCCUGGACAAAGACUGACGCUCAGGUGCGAAAGCGUGGGGAGCAAACA
rnacentral:rRNA from 1 species